rnacentral:misc_RNA from 1 species
GAUGAAGAACGCAGCGAAAUGCGAUAAGUAAUGUGAAUUGCAGAAUUCAGUGAAUCAUCGAAUCUUUGAACGCACAUUGCGCCCCCUGGUAUUCCGGGGGGCAUGCCUGUCCGAGCGUCAUUACAACCCUCAAGCUCAGCUUGGUGUUGGGCCCCGCCGCCCCGGCGGGCCCUAAAGUCAGUGGCGGUGCCGUCCGGCUCCGAGCGUAGUAAUUCUUCUCGCUCUGGAGGUCCGGUCGUGUGCUCGCCAGCAACCCCCAAUUUUAUCAGGUUGACCUCGGAUCAGGUAGGGAUACCCGCUGAACUUAAGCAUAUCAAUAAGCGGAGGA